CUCAGGACGAACGCUGGCGGCGUGCUUAACACAUGCAAGUCGAACGGGGCACCCCUGAAGGAGUUUUCGGACAACGGAAGGGAAUGCUUAGUGGCGGACUGGUGAGUAACGCGUGAGGAACCUGCCUUCCAGAGGGGGACAACAGUUAGAAAUGACUGCUAAUACCGCAUGAUACAUUUGAAUCGCAUGGUUUGAAUGUCAAAGAUUUAUCGCUGGAAGAUGGCCUCGCGUCUGAUUAGCUAGUUGGUGAGGUAACGGCCCACCAAGGCGACGAUCAGUAGCCGGACUGAGAGGUUGGCCGGCCACAUUGGGACUGAGAUACGGCCCAGACUCCUACGGGAGGCAGCAGUGGGGAAUAUUGGGCAAUGGACGCAAGUCUGACCCAGCAACGCCGCGUGAAGGAAGAAGGCUUUCGGGUUGUAAACUUCUUUUAAGGGGGAAGAGCAGAAGACGGUACCCCUUGAAUAAGCCACGGCUAACUACGUGCCAGCAGCCGCGGUAAUACGUAGGUGGCAAGCGUUGUCCGGAUUUACUGGGUGUAAAGGGCGUGCAGCCGGAGAGGCAAGUCAGAUGUGAAAUCCGCGGGCUCAACCCGCGAACUGCAUUUGAAACUGCUUCCCUUGAGUAUCGGAGAGGUAACCGGAAUUCCUAGUGUAGCGGUGAAAUGCGUAGAUAUUAGGAAGAACACCAGUGGCGAAGGCGGGUUACUGGACGACAACUGACGGUGAGGCGCGAAAGCGUGGGGAGCAAACAGGAUUAGAUACCGUGGUAGUCCACGCCGUAAACGAUCGAUACUAGGUGUGCGGGGACUGACCCCCUGCGUGCCGGAGUUAACACAAUAAGUGUCGCACCUGGGGAGUACGAUCGCAAGGUUGCAACUCAAAA
rnacentral:rRNA from 1 species